GAUCAUGGCUCAGGAUGAACGCUAGCUACAGGCUUAACACAUGCAAGUCGAGGGGCAGCAUUUUAGUUUGCUUGCAAACUGAAGAUGGCGACCGGCGCACGGGUGAGUAACACGUAUCCAACCUGCCGAUAACUCCGGAAUAGCCUUUCGAAAGAAAGAUUAAUACCGGAUGGCAUACGAAUAUCGCAUGGUAUUUUUAUUAAAGAAUUCGGUUNUGAUGGGGAUGCGUUCCAUUAGUUUGUUGG
rnacentral:rRNA from 1 species